rnacentral:rRNA from 1 species
GACGAACGCUGGCGGCGUGCUUAACACAUGCAAGUCGAACGGAAAGGCCCUGCUUUUGUGGGGUGCUCGAGUGGCGAACGGGUGAGUAACACGUGAGUAACCUGCCCUUGACUUUGGGAUAACUUCAGGAAACUGGGGCUAAUACCGGAUAGGAGCUCCUGCUGCAUGGUGGGGGUUGGAAAGUUUCGGCGGUUGGGGAUGGACUCGCGGCUUAUCAGCUUGUUGGUGGGGUAGUGGCUUACCAAGGCUUUGACGGGUAGCCGGCCUGAGAGGGUGACCGGCCACAUUGGGACUGAGAUACGCCCCAGACUCCUACGGGAGGCAGCAGUGGGGAAUAUUGCACAAUGGGCGGAAGCCUGAUGCAGCAACGCCGCGUGCGGGAUGACGGCCUUCGGGUUGUGAACCGCUUUCGCCUGUGACGAAGCGUGAGUGACGGUAAUGGGUAAAGAAGCACCGGCUAACUACGUG